rnacentral:misc_RNA from 1 species
AACGCACAUUGCGCCCCUUGGUAUUCCGGGGGGCAUGCCUGUUCGAGCGUCAUUAAUACCAAUCCCUUCGGGGGUCUUGGGGCUUGGGGAUCUCCCAGCUCUUAAAAUCAGUGGCGGUGCCUCUCGGCUCUAAGCGUAGUAAUUCUUCUCGCUAUAGUCCCCGGGAGAACACUUGCCAUAACCCCCAUACUUUUAAGGUUGACCUCGGAUCAGGUAGGGAUACCCGCUGAACUUAA